GAAAUCGCUAUUGUGGCGUGUGACAUUCCUGAAGGUAAGUGUUCGCAAAUCAACAUAGUGAAAACUUCAAAUCUUUCUUGAUACAAUCUCAUAAGAGACUUCUAUCUUUUCUUAGCAAGCUUAUUAGUAAAUGAGGUUUAAUAUAGUCCUGUCGGCUUCUCCUCGGUUUCUAACAAUUUUGCUCAUCUCUAAUUAUGCAGCAUGCAUUAGAAAAUGUGUAAUUAGAAUAUGCGAACUUAAUUUUUUUAAAGAAAAGAACAACACAUCUCUCAUGUUGUAAUUAUUUAAGCUCAUUCAAGUCACAAAGGGCCAAUAACUUUAGUUUAAGUAUUUAUCUGUUGUGUCAAUGCCCAGUCCAACUUAAAGAAAUAAAAUAUGACCAGAACGAUAUGAAGUCACGACGACCCUUUGUUGGUCAACCCUCUUCGAUGUGACCUGUUUUAUUAAUUCCACCUUAGUUUAUAUCAAUUUUGUAUGGUCGUCAUUACAAUUAUGUGGGUGGUUGUAUGAGAAAAGAGUGGUUUCUGGACUCCUGUUAUCUUCAGGGUCAAUAUGAGCAUACGUUCAAGGAAAUCGAAAACUCCUCUCUCUUGCAAAAGUAUUUAUUUAAAAAUGUUCUAGCAGCUUAUGUGAACGGUGCCAAUCCAACAUAAAGAAAUAAACUGUUACAAAUUUAUUGGGAGUCAUCAUGUCCAUUUGUCGGGUAAUCUCUCUUUGCAGUUCCCUUUUAUUUUACUUUGCACGUUAUAUUCGACAUCCUCUAUUCUAUUGUAGCUGAAAAGGUAGCUUUAUGCACUGCCCAUGUGAUAAACAUUUUGACAGAAAAAAGUUGGAUGAAAAACUAUUUUCAUCUGCUAUAGCAAUGGCAGAAAUAACUUGCAAUGCAUACACUGAUUCUUGACUAUUUGUGCUGCAAAAUUGGCGGUAUAUUAUCAAAAAUUUGAAAGGAUCGAAUAGCUUAGUUUUUUUGUGUUGAAGUUUACGUCUGUUGAAUUGUUUCUUAAUUCCAGUGUUCUUUCAAUUGUGCAGUUAUUGGGACAGCAUUUGCUUUAAACAUGCUCUUCAAAAUACCAGUAUGGUGUGGUGUGCUAAUCACAGGGCUGAGUACCUUGACUCUACUUCUGUUGCAACAAUAUGGGGUAUGUUUAUAUAAUUCCCUUUAAAAACCUAUGCUCGAGAUGUCAUGCAUGAACAAAAUUAAAUUGGUUAUGAAAUGGUCAAUAUUCACUGGAUCGAGGAACCUAUUUAAAUUUGUACUUGUUAAAAAGCAUAAAACCCCUCAGAGAUAUGUUGUUCAUCAUUUUUACCCUUUAAAAUCAAAUUUCACAUUGGACAGAAUUGUUAUUUAAUCUUUUAUUUUAAAAUAUUAAAGACUUUUAAGUCAGCUAAAAUUAAAGAUCAUCCGGUGCACAAAGCUGGGCUAUGCGUGGGAGCUGGAUAGGAAAUCAUAAUAUUUAGAGUUUUAGAUCUUGUUUAACGCCUUACUAUUAAAGUAGAAUUAUAGGUUCUUUUAUUAGUCAAAAUUGUUAGAAAUUAAGAACUCAGAUGUGCACUACUUUUGUUUUGUCAGAUUUGCACAGCUAAAAAAUAGGUUUGCACAAGUUAUAGCUCAAAUAUCUCUGUGUUUAUCCUUCUCUCUCUUAUCUAGCUGACAAUUAAGUGUACUAACAUUACAGGUUCGGAAACUUGAAUUCUUUAUUGCAUUCCUUGUACUUACCAUAGCUAUAUGCUUCUUUGUGGAGCUUGGAUAUGCAAAACCCGACCCCUCAGAAGUUCUUCAGGGGCUUUUCGUUCCUCAACUCAAAGGGAGUGGUGCUACUAAGCUUGCUAUUUCCCUUCUUGGUGCUAUGGUUAUGCCGUAAGUGUAUAUGGAUGUUCGCUAUAGUAUUUUUUUGGAUAAAUCAUUCUACUAUUGUCAUGCUGAUAAUUUUCACUUUUUGCAGCCACAAUCUUUUCCUCCAUUCAGCCCUGGUGCUUUCCCGAAAAAUUCCUCGAUCUGUGAACGGCAUCAAAGUAUGUUUAGUAAUGGAAAUCCUCCUCAUAUUUUCGAGUAAUGAAAAACCUCCUCACGAAUGCUCAUCAACCUAAGAAAAGAAAACAAGGAGAAAAUUUGACUUUCGUUGUUGAUGCUAGUUGCGAAUCAAGUAGCAUGGGUCUAUGGUUGAUGCUUAGAGGUCAUACUAUGAUAAUAUAAACUCAUGGUUUCAUUUUGUCUGGAAUGUGUUGGUACCCAAAUUUUUUUCAAUAAUUUAUUAGUUCACUCAUUGUAUGGCUAGGCAAGUUGAUCCUCGAGUAAGGUGGACCUGUAAUAAGUUUUGUUUACGUAAGUGCUCGAGUUAAAAGAUAGAUCAUUUCUUGUUCUAUUUUUUUCUUUAUUUUCCUGUAAAAUUUGAGAAAGACUUACCUGUCUCAUUGGAACACCCUAAGCUUUUUUGGCCUCCUACUCUUUCUUUUUUUUUUUUUUUAAAAAUAAAUCUGUACAGGAUUAUGUUACAGGUGUGCUAGUUUGACCAAAUUAGUGAAAUAAAUAAUUUACAGGAGGCGUGCAGAUACUACCUGAUCGAAAGUGGCCUGGCUUUGAUGGUGGCAUUUCUUAUUAACAUAUCAGUUAUCUCAGUAAGUGGUGCUGUCUGCAAUUCCCCUUCUAUGAGCCCAGAUGAUCGGGAUAAGUGUGAGGACUUAGACUUGAACAAAGCAUCUUUUUUACUCAAAGUAGGUGAUACCACACUGCAAUGUCAUUGCUAUUCAAUUACACAGAACUAUGCUUUUUCAUCCAUUUUAUAAUGUUUUUUAAGUCUUAAUGACACUGCUCUUUUUAUGUUACUACUUACAGAAUGUUUUAGGCAACUGGAGUUCCAAGCUAUUUGCAAUUGCUUUACUAGCAUCAGGGCAGAGUUCGACAAUAACUGGGACGUACGC
rnacentral:lncRNA from 1 species